rnacentral:rRNA from 1 species
GAUGAACGCUGGCGGCGUGCCUAAUACAUGCAAGUCGAGCGAACAGAUGAGGAGCUUGCUCCUCUGACGUUAGCGGCGGACGGGUGAGUAACACGUGGAUAACCUACCUAUAAGACUGGGAUAACUUCGGGAAACCGGAGCUAAUACCGGAUAAUAUAUUGAACCGCAUGGUUCAGUAGUGAAAGACGGUUUUGCUGUCACUUAUAGAUGGAUCCGCGCCGCAUUAGCUAGUUGGUAAGGUAACGGCUUACCAAGGCAACGAUGCGUAGCCGACCUGAGAGGGUGAUCGGCCACAUUAGAGGUGAGACGCGGUCCAGACUCCUACGGGAGGCAGCAGUAGGGAAUCGUCCGCAAUGGGCGAAAGCCUGACGGAGCAACGCCGAGUGAGUGAUGAAGGUCUUCGGAGCGUAAAACUCUGUUAUUAGGGAAGAACAAAUGUGUAAGUAACUAUGCACGUCUUGACGGUACCUAAUCAGAAAGCCACGGCUAACUACGUG